rnacentral:tRNA from 1 species
UCUGGUGGCUCAGAUGGUAAAGAAUCUGACUGCAACGCAGAAAACCCAGGUUCGAUUCCUGGCUCGGGAA